rnacentral:rRNA from 1 species
UACGUAGGGCGCAAGCGUUUGUCCGGAAUUAUUGGGCGUAAAGAGCUCGUAGGCGGUUUGUCGCGUCUGCUGUGAAAACUCGGGGCUUAACCCCGGGCCUGCAGUGGGUACGGGCAGACUAGAGUGCGGUAGGGGAGACUGGAAUUCCUGGUGUAGCGGUGAAAUGCGCAGAUAUCAGGAGGAACACCGAUGGCGAAGGCAGGUCUCUGGGCCACUACUGACGCUGAGAAGCGAAAGCAUGGGGAGCGAACAGG